rnacentral:tRNA from 1 species
GUAUCGGUGGUUGAGUGGUAGAAUUCUCGCCUGCCACGCGGGAGGCCCGGGUUCGAGUCCCGGCCGAUGCA